rnacentral:lncRNA from 1 species
CACAAACAAAGAACUUGGAAGGGUACUCUGCCGCUCACUUCUCCCAACGUUUAUCAUCAGCCUCUGCUGUCUUUGGAGCUUCAUUGCCUCCUUCUCUGAACUGGAAAAUCCUACCAGAAGUCACAACACUGAAGACCAAAGUUGAGGCUGGUAGUGCUACUACCAAGCCUACUAAGCUAUUACCAUCCUACUAAGGGGAUAGUAAGUUUUCUGAGGAGCAAUACUUUCAACCUGGUUGACUUUGGGCAAGCCACCUAACCUCCAUGGACCUGGAUUUCUUCAUCUGCACCAGGAGGAGAUCGGAUCAGAUGGCCUCUUAGGAACCUUGGAAGGAAAGAAGCAAUUGUGAGAGGCUUUGGCAAAUGCCUGGCUGAAAUUCAGCGUGCAAUAUGAGCAGGUAAGAACUCCCUUUUCUACGGAGCCUUAAGGUUUGCAAAAAAC